rnacentral:rRNA from 1 species
AUAUGUUCCCAGGACAGAUGUGAAUACCAGCUAAGUUUAAGCAUAUCAAUAAGCGGAGGA